GCGUCUGCUGCGUGCUGGGCCGACCCUCCCACCCGUGUCGAUUUCUAUCUUGUUGCUUUGGCGGGCCGGGUUGCGUCGUCGCUGCCCGCAAGGACAGCCGUCGGCCUCCCACCGGUUUCGACUGGAGCGCGUCCGCCAAAGACCCAAUCAAAACUCAUGUUGUCUUUGUCGUCUCAGCUUUAUUAUUGAAUUGAUAAAACUUUCAACAACGGAUCUCUUGGCUCUGGCAUCGAUGAAGAACGCAGCGAAAUGCGAUAAGUAAUGUGAAUUGCAGAAUUUAGUGAAUCAUCGAAUCUUUGAACGCACAUUGCGCCCCUUGGUAUUCCGAGGGGCAUGCCUGUUCGAGCGUCAUAACACCCCCUCCAGCUACCUUUGUGUGGUUGCGGUGUUGGGGCACGUCGGGAUGCGGCGGCCCUUAAAGACAGGGCGGUCCCGGCGUGGGCUCUACGCGUAGUAACUUGUUUCUCGCGACAGAUGACGACGGUGUCUGGCCAAAAGCCCGAGGUUCCAAUCAAGGGGUUGACAGGAAGACCGCAAUUCUGGGUCGUCCCUGGUCGGUU
rnacentral:rRNA from 1 species